AAACUUUGUCGGCAGAGUAAAAAUCUAAACUUAAAAUCCAAAAAAAAGAGAAGAAAGAUAGCAAACCAAGCUAAACACAAGACAGUCAUAGCCGAUCUGUAAAUUUUUUUUCAGCUCAUGUUGUUCGUGUUGGAAAUUUUUUUAUUAAAGGAAGUUAUAACAUACAAUGUGGAGUAGAAAUUUGAAAUGGAAGAUGCUUGGGAGCCUUUACCAGACACAGUAUAAAUCAAUUGAUUUUGUUGCUAAAGUGGGGAUAGUGAUGAAAAUUGAUUUUUUUUUCUUCUUAUUUUGCACGAAUUCAGUCUCAUGAGUGUUGUAAAAAACGAGUUGCAAUGGAGAUAGGCGCAAAUCUUGCAGAUUUGAGAUAGUGAAAGAUUAGAAAUAGGAGGAGGGCAUGGGCCUGUGCAUUGGAUGGUGCCGUGCCGGAUCUCUCUUCUGAAGGGAUAAAUUGUAAUAUCUGAUCUUCCUUAAAUUUGGAUUUGGACAAUGUGAGAUGCCUUUGCUUCGAAUAAGGAAUUUAGUAACGUACCAAUUUUUCAGGUGUAUUGUUAGUUCUUUUAUGAACACAGGUACAUAUUAGGUUUAUCGAUUUCUAAAAAAAUUAAUACAAAUAUUCUAAAUAGUUUUUUAAUAUAAAAUGUUGGAUUUGGUUUUAUUUAUUUAUUAUCAAUAUGUUAUAUAAACAUUUUAUUUAUUAUCAAUUUAAGUUUAAAACUGUAAAGUAUGUUAUGCUGUUAUGUUAAAGACUUUUUUUUUAAAAAUUUAUUUUUAAUUUUCAUGUCAUAUAAUAGUUAAAAAAUUAUUAACCUGAACCAUUAACUGGGGGGAGGGGGAUAACUUGGGUUACUAGUUUAAUUAUUAUAUGACAUAAAACUAUAUUUAGAUUAUGUAUUUCGGUGUAGUCUUGAUUACGUACUUCGAUGUUGUCUUGGCUCCGAUGCUAUUCUGUAAUGUUUUUGUAUAUUUUACCUGUUCAGUUAAGCCUAUGCUGAAUAAGAAAAGAUAAUGAUAAAAUAAAAAGUUUUUUUUGCAAGCAAGUUCCAAUAGGAUUUUGAUAAAAUAAUAAUUAAUUAUUUAAAUAAUAGUAGUAGAGAUAAACGCAGAAAAUUAGACAAUAGUCACUGACAGACACCAAAUGCGACAGCAAACUAGCGUGCCUGAAAAAAAGUUCUCGGUUCCAUCAAACCACCGCUUCGCUAGUUGGAUCCCUUUUUCCAAUGUACAACGGGCUUUUCGUGAUAUUCAAAGCUCUAUAUUCUUAUCCGGAGGUGAAAGGGAUUACAAGGUGGGUCAUACAGUGUAAGAAUGGUUCUCCACCGUACGAUUGAUUGUUGAAAUAUCACGACAAUGACAUAACAAACAGACCCAUCCUUCUUUUUAAAUUUUUGGUACCAUGUGAUUUCAAUCCCCACCACCUGCAAAACAGGGGGCCCACUUUCGAAAAUCGUAUCUAUCUUUUCUAAAUACAGGAGGAAGAUUCAGAGAGGGACACGUGAAUCAAACGUGCAAGGAAGGGCAAGUUGGGAGAAAGGUUUGAAAAUUCCAGGAGGGGCAUAAAAGAAACAAGUAACAGCUGACACGGCGGCCAACUUGAGCGUGAAACCAGCGGCAAAAGCUGACGUUUCUUUGAGGAUAUCUAUAUAUUUGCUUGGCUGCUUCUGGAAACGUGUCGGCUUAGUCUCACUCAAAAAUCAAAGCUGGCUCCACUAAUGAAAUUUCCAAAUGAUAAUUUAUUUAUUUGCCGACGGUGGAUAUUGGAAGGACCACGGAGUUCAUCUGAUUGUAAGCCGCAGCUGGCUAUACGUUUUCUCAUUUUGUGGUGUUUAUCUAUGAAAAAGAAAUCUAUUUUAUUAAAGAUAAUAAAGAGGGAGGGUUUAGGGUUGGGUUGGGAAGUGCCUUGCGGGAAGGGGAUAAGAAGUGGGUAGGGUAGGGAGUGCAAAUUUUGAUGGAAGAGGACUUUUAGGUUUCACCAAUCUUUCACUGAUGGUUGUUUCAUGGAAACGUGAAAAGGAGUUGGUUGUGGGGUGCGAUCUCCAUGGGAUAGGUGGCCAAUUUUAGUACAUUGAUCUACUAACUAAAGAUUAUGAUAACCUAUAAAAACUUAAUCUACUCAUAAAUAAUAUGUACAUCAAAUAUUACAAGAUUUAAGAUCUCUAUGAUGUUGAUACGAGAAUUUUCACUUAUUAAACUCUUAUUUUUUAAAUAAAUUAUUUCAAUAAAUUGGAGUCGAAAUACUAAUUAAUCAUGAUUUGGGAUAAAUUAAUUUGAAUAGAUACAUUAAGAUUACUUUUUUAUCAUUCAAACCUCGAAAUCUAAAGUUAUUUACAUGCACCAAAUUAUCUAAAAAUAAAAAUUAAUAGAUUUAAGUUUAAAUAUUGUUUGAAAUUAUGAUUUUUGAUUUUACGUGUUCCACUAAAGAUCGAUUUAGGAUUAUUAUUCAAUUAUAAGUACUGAUUUAACUAAACUCAUUAGCAACCAUAUUUUUUUAAGGGUGUCAAUAUUCAAGUAUAUAACUUUCAAUUAAUAAUUAGAUUUUAGAGUAUUUGUAAUUUUUAUGAAUUCUAUAUUUUAAAUUACAUCGAUUUAUACUUACUUUUUAAAAUAUAUUUGCAAGCAUAUAAUAUUUUUAAAUUUAAAUUAUUGGAUAAUAUUUUUUUAAAAAUUUCAAAUUGAAAUAUCACUUUACCAUUAAUAUUAAAAAUAAAUUAUUUUAAAAUAAAAUUUCUCCAUACUUUCCAUUAAAAGUUGUUAAUUCUUUAAUUUUAAUUUUAAAUUUUCAUUUACUAUUUUGUAAUUAACACUAAAAAAUAAAAAUAAAUACAAUUUUAAAUACAAUAUAAAAUUAAUUUAUUAAAAGUUUUGUGCAUUUUAAAAGUUUCAAAAUUUGAAAUACUAUUUUUGAAAUAAUUUUAUAAGUUUUUAAAGUUUAAAAUAUAGUUUAUAAUAUUUCCAAUAAUUUUUUUUAAACAACUGAAUAAAAAAUACAUUGUCAAGAUUUAAAUAAUUUACAUGAGUUUAAAGCAAUUUUUUGUGACCAUUAUUAUUAAAUAUUUUAAUUGUUAUUUAAAUAAUAACAAAUUUAUAAAAACACAUCAGCAAUUCUUUCUUAGUCCAAUAUAAAAAAAAACCAAUUUUUUAUAUUAUUAGAACAAUUCAUCCUAUUAAAACAUUAAAUAUUAAAAAAAAUAAUGAACGUGAAAUACACUCCACGUCCAUUUAAAAUUAAGCUUUUACUACCGAUUGAAUCUAAUUUGAUUGGUAUCGGCACUGCUAAAAGUGGAUAAGUCUUAACUUAAGUGUGUUUUUCAUUCUAUUUAAGGGUUAGAAAUAGAGCUGUCUAUGGCCGGACCCGGCCCGACGGCCCACCCGAAAUAUGGGAAGGUUCGGGUAAAAAUAUAGGCCCGAAAUAUGGGCUUGGGCAAAAAAUGAGGCCCGUUUAAAAAAUGGGCCGGGCCUCGGGCAAAAUUUUUUUGGCUUGGCCCGGCCUGAAAAUAUAUUAAAUAUAUAUAUUUUUAUUUUUAAAAUAUACUAGUUUUUGUUUUAUUUUAAGUUUUAAGUUACAAAAUGUUAGAUUUUGUUACAACAAUUAAUACAAUUAACAAUUAAUAAUUUGAUAUAAUUUCAUAAUUUUACUAACAAUUAAUCAUUUUACUAACAAAAUAUUAGUAACAAUAAAUAAUUAAUAAUUUGAUAUAAUUUGAUAAUUUUAGUAACAAUUAAUACAAUUAACAAUUAAUAAUUUUACUAGCAAAAUGUUAGAUUUUAUAAAAUGUUGACUGGUACAAAAAAAAUAUAAUUUGAUACAAUUUUAAUAAAAAUAUAUUUUUAAUUUUAAUUAAAAAACGAGCCAGGCCGGGCCGGGCUCAGGUUCCAUAUUUUUUCCUCGGGCAGGGCUUGGAAAAAAUCUCAGGCCGGGCUGGGCCUGGGUCUAGGAAGUGGGCUAAAAAAAAUUUUGGGCCUGGCCCGGCCCAUAGACACCUCUAGUUAGAAAGUUAUAGAUAAUUCUAAACAUAAAAUAAAAUAAAAUAAAAGUUUUUGCCAUGUUUUGAAUUAUUCAUGCUUUAAAUUUAUUUUUACUAAUAUUUUGGUCACAUACAAUUAAAAUCUACCGUUAUAAAUAGAUUAAUCACAUAAAAUGAAGUGUGUAUAUAUAUAUAUAUAUAUAUAUAUAUAUAUAUAUAUAUAUAUAUAUAUAUAUAUUAUUUAAUGAACUAAAAAAAUAGAGCAAAAUAAAUAGAUAACCCUGGGUUAAAUGCAUGUAAGAUUAAAAGUUAAUAUAUGAAAAAUAAGAAAAGUUAUGUGUAAUUGAUUAAUGCAUUUAAGUUCCAAUAUUGAAAUUACAAAACUUCAUUUCAAUUCUUUAACUUUAAAUUGCAAAGUUUAAUUAAAAUAUGAAUCAAAGCAAGUUUUUUUUGUAUAAAAUAAUUUCUAAUGUCAGUUGAUUUUAUGCAUUUAAUUUUUGAAUUAAUUUAAAUAAUAUAUUUGAAAUUAUAGUAAUUAAUUUCUUAACUCGUUAUUUGAAUUGUUAAAUAUGAUUAAAAUAUAUUAACUUAGUUUACAAUUCAAAUAUAAUAAAAUGCCAUAUUAAAAUAUCGAUAAAUGAUUUUUUUUAAGUGAAAAAUAAAUUAACUAUAAUGAUUUGUAAAUAAUAUAUACUUAAUAUUUAUCAAGUGAAAAAUAAAAAAUGUUUAAAAAAACUCUUUUAAAUUAUUGUAAUUGUAAAACCAUCAACUUUUUCUUUAAUUAUAAUUAUUUUAACUAAAUUAUAAUACUCUUUAAAAACACUAUAAUCAAGUAGCAUCUAAGAAAAUUACAAGUGAAAAGAUGGAGAUUGUUAGCAAUAAUAAAUUAGAAUUAUAUAAAAAGGAAUGAUUUUUCAAUGAGGCAAUAUCGAAUCAUAUUUGAACAACAAUGGGACUAGAAAGAGAUAUAAUAUUACUGUAAUUGAUGAUAAGGUAAUUUAAUACUAUACUAAGUUAUUUAUUAUAAUUUGCAAAGCAAAUUUAUUUAUUUAUCCAUUAUUUGUUUUGUGUAAGUAAAGAACAUUUUUGUGGAUUUGUUUUGAAAAUAAGUGAAAAUAUUUUUAUUUACUUUCUUCUAUACUUCCCAAUUAUUAUUUUUAAAACUAAGGUCACUUUUAGUAUAACUUAAACCAAUCAUUAUUUAAUAAGUAGAAAUAUGUAUUUUUAAAUCAUAAAAUAUUUUACUUAAUAAAUUAAAAAUGUAUAAAAUCAUGUGCAGGAGCCAGAUAUUAUUACAAACUGAGAAGGAGAUAAUAAUAAUGUCGAAACUAUUUUUUGUAAAAAGGUCGUCGACUUGGAUUUUGAAAACGAAAACGAACACGGGAGUCGCCACCAAUCCUUUUUUGCUAAUGUGUGAUUGGAGCACCUCAUAAUUGGUUGUUUUUAAUAAACGAUUUGAUUUUAUUAAAACAACAAUUUUGGUUCACGAAAUUCAGAAAAACUGGUUCAAGAGUCAGUUACGUACGAGGAAGGAUUAGCACCCUUGUAAAGCCCAAAAUUGGUACCUAGUUGAUUAAUUAGUGUUUUAGUGUCGAAAAUUGAAAACUUUGAAGAGAUUCAAAAUACGAUCCUUUGUAAAAAUGCUUGUAUAAAUCAAAUUACCCGUUAAGACCUUUUCAUUUUGGAGAGAGAAAAUGUCACACCCAAUGAGUUAGGGCAUGAUAUUUCACCUCCUCAAAAAUGAGCUUGUCCUAAAAAACUCAUGCAAUAAAAUUUAAAAGAAUAUUCAAUUGUUUAAGUCAAAUGAAGAACUCGUAGCCCAAAACGUUAGGGCACAAUUUAUCAAAAUUCCAAACAUUAAAUGUACAACCCAUUUUGCUCGGCCCAGUACCCAAAUAAAACCAAACCACCCAAAUCUACCCAAAACCCAAUUACAACCCGGGGCCGAAACCAAAAAACUAAGCCCAACAGACCCAAACCCAAAAACUAAAGUCAAACUAGGGUUUCAGAAAAACUGAAACCCUAGCUCGUGGCUGCCGCACGUCUGUCACAUCACCAGCAGCCACGACCCAUCGCCACGGUCACGUCGCCACCGUCAUAUCACCCCACUUGCACCGCCCAUCGAGUGCCUACAAAACAAUAAAAGAGACAACAAGCAAGAGUAGGAAACAAUCGACUAUAAAUGCCGAAGAAAAUGUAAUUAUUUUCUCUUCUGGACACGGAUAUGUGAGAAAAAAUAGAAGUAAAUUUCUUUAAAAAAAAAGAACAAAGAAAAAGAAAUAAAAAGAAAAAAAACAAAGGUGAUUCGUUUUUUUCAUUUUCUGGGCUCCUCGUUUCUUUUAUUUUUUGAGUGUUGUUUUGCUUUAUCUUUCUUAAAUACGAAGUAGUAAAGGAGGGGAAAGGGAGGCUUACCUAAAUCAACCCAUAGCCCCGUCACCGGCGUUCCUCUGCCAUCGUCAGAUUUGGGCUCAAGGAAGGGUCGGAGUUUUUUUUAUUUUUUUCUUUUUCCCUCGGUUCCCCACUCCAGGAGCUUGGCCCUUGAACGCGCUUUAAAAUGGCGGGGGCUGAAAUGCCCGAUUUCCCGCGACGCCGACCACCGGCCACGGCGGAGCUGUGGUGGUGACCGUGACUGGUCAAAGAGGGGUCAAGAGAGAGAGGGGAAAACAGAGAGCUCUCUGUUCUUUUUUUUUUAAAUGAAUGAUUUAAAUUUUUGUUGUUAUGGUUGCUAUUUAUAUAAGGGGUGAUACGGCGUCAUUUUAGGCCUGAGUAUUAGUGGCCAAAAUGACGCCGUCUUGCAGAAGACCCGAAAACCCAACUCGAAUGAAGUCAGGAUCCGCGCGUUUUGGCUCAGAGGGGCUAUUUGCACAUUCAGCCCCUCCGCUUUUGCAGUAUGGCGCAAUCUGGUCUCAAUCGCUUUUACAUUUUGGCCGUAUAAUUUUCUGGUUGUUUCAUUGGGGUCCAGGCCGAAACGCUGCGUCUGAGGGCAGGGAAUAUUGCCCAGUUGGUCCCUCAUUCUUUAAGCGCGCCUCUUUUCAGUCCUGCACCAUUCCUUUUGUUUAUUUACAGAUUUAAACCCGAAGUUUGUUUUAAAAUUCAAUUUAUCCCUUUUUUUGUGAUUGUUAUUUUGGUUAUUUCCAUUUUUAAAUUAAUAAAUUUGUUUCUGUUAUCUUGUAUUAUUAUUUACUCAUUUAUACCUUUUAAUUUUAGUUUUUGUUAUAUAUAUAUACAUACAUAUCUUUGAUUUAUACAUGUACAUAUUUAUAUUUUAUAUAUAUUUCUAUAAUUUAUAUACAUAUCUAUAUAUAUCGAUACACAUUUUUAUUUUCACGAAUCUAUAUGUAUACUUGUAUGUAUUUUUAUUUUACAAUUUUUAUAUAUAUUUAUAUACAUAUACAUAUAUAUCUUUUACUUUUUAUAAUUUUAUUCACUUUCUUUAUUUAUUUCUUUGUUUGCAUUUUCAUUAUUAUUUGGAAAGAAUGUUUUAGUUUUAUUUAUUUAUUUAUUUAUUUAUAUGCUUGUUAUCUUGUAUGUUAUUGUUUUGCCCUUUUAUUUCUCUCAUUUUUGUUGCUAUUGCUCGUAUUACUUUUACACCAUCGUAUUCAAUAUUGUUUUGUACGCAUAUUAACAUCGAGUUUCAUUUCUACCAUUUCGAGUUAGAUUAAUUCGAUGCAUGAAUCAUGAUUUUAAAACAAGUAAAACCUUGUAUUUUGAUUCGAUAAAGUCGUACCCUAACUUACGGGGUUUCGAUUUUCUCGAUAAAUCUAAAUACACGAAUCAUUUCAAACAAAAUUUUUAAAUAUUCUCGGGGAUUAACAAAAGAUCGUGUUCUAACUCACGGGACAUGAUAUCUUUCCUAAACCCGAGAUAAUCAAAUAUCUUUCAAAAUGAAUAAAUUUUUGGCAUUUAUUCUCGUAUCGAGAAUUCGAGACAUUGUGUCUUAAUUUACUGGAUAUAAUUCUCUUUCUUGAUUAACAUGAAAUAUGCCCUUUUCUCGAAAAUUUUCAACAUUUCAAUAAAGGAUCGUAUUUUAAAUCUCUUUAAAAUUUUCAAUUUUCGACACUAAGACAUUGAAUAAUCAAUUAGGUACAAAUUUUAAGUGUUACGAGGGUGCUAAUCCUUCCUCGUACAUAACCGACUCCCGAGCUCAUUUUUCUAAAUUUCGCGGACCAAAAUCGUUGUUUUAAUAAAAUCAAAUCGUUUAUAAAAAAAAUAACCAUUUUUCGAGGUGGCCCGAUCACACCUCAUCAAAAAGGAUUGGUGGUGACUCCCAUAUUCGUUUUCAUUUUUAAAAUCGAAGUCGACCCCGUUUUAUCAAAAAAUGGUGUCAACAUUGAAUAUUGCCUUUAUUAUUUUUUUCAGAAAAAUCCUCAUCUCGAGAAAACAACAUGUCAUAUCCAAUUCGUUAGGACACAACGUAUCGAAUUCUCGAUAAUGAGCUUUUUAUUUAUGUGUUUUGAUUAAAGAAUAUUCUCGAUUAUUUGGAUUCAACGAGGAAAAUUAGAACCCGUUAGGGCUCAAUACUCUCAAAGAUCCCAAAUACCGAAUAUUGUGUUAUUUAGAAAAAAUUUCCUCUUUGAAUUUGGAUAAAAAUUAUGUAUGUUUAGUUCACUCGAAUAUGGUAUAAAGUAGGGCUAAAAUGUAAGGGAAAAUGGCAUGUUUAAUGAAAAUGCUACCGCAACAUAAUUUGAAAUAAUAUAAAAAAACUUGCAUGUACAUGAAACAAUGAGAUAUCUAAAAUAAUAAAUGAGCAAUAGCAUUUACUAGUUAAAUCUAAUAUUAAUUAAACAAAAAUAAAUAAAUAAAUAAAAAUGGAAUGUAUAUAUAAUAAAGUAAACAUUAAAGUAUUAUAAUAAUAAUACUUUAAUAAUUGUAAUAAAAUAAUAAAAAUGACUAUAAUAAUAAAAUAAAAAUACUUAUGUUUAUAUUGAUAAUAAUCAUAUUAUAGUUAAGAAAAUUAAUAUUAAUAACAAGAGCAAUGCUAAAAAUAGUAUUAAUAUCGAAAAUAAUGGUAAUAACCUUAAUAACAAUAAUACUAAUAAAAAUUUUAAUAAUAAUAAAUAUAGUAAUAAUAUUAAUUAAUUUAAAAAUAGCAAAAGAAAAAAAUGAAAAAAAGGGGACUAUAAUGAACUAAAAAUAGAAAUUCGGGGAAAAUUUGAAAUAAUUUAAAAAAAGGGAACCUAUUUGGACGCGCGAAUAACAAGGAGGGAUAAAAUGGGCAAUUUUCCCCACCCUCCAAAACGCGCAGCUUCAAAAGGGACCAAAUUGAAAGCCGAAAUAAAUCACAGGGUAAGAUUUAAAAAAUAAGAUGAACUUAAUUGCAAAAUAAUUUAAAAGCGAAAGGGCUGAAUGCGCAAAUAGACCAUUCCACAAAAAACACGUGGAUCCUCUUGCGGUCGGGUCAAUGCGCGGGUUAAAGGGAAAAACGACGCCGUUUUGGUGCCCGGAGCACUGGCCCAAAACGACGCCGUUUCGUAGGGCCUAUUUAACUUAAUUUUUUUUAAAAACCUCAUUUCUGUCGUUCUUCAAAAAAAAGGACUUUCUCUAAAAAAACCUCUCCCCUCAGCCCAUGAAUCAGGCCAGGCUCCAGUCACCAGCCACCGCGCCGGCCAUCAGUCACCGGCGACUGCGCCGCCAUCCGCGGUGGCCGAAAAACUAAAAAAGUUUCUUUUUUUUAGACGCACACCCUUAGCCUCAGAUUCGCUUUCGACGAUGGCAACUAAGGUAAAAGACCUCCCCUUUUAUUUAUUUAUAUUUCGAAAUAAGGAAAGAAAUGAAGAAAUAAAAUAAGAACUAAAACGUGAACCACCUUAAAGUAUGAUUUUUUCCUUAUUUUGUAUUCAAUUGUGUGUUCAAAUGUAAUGUAUUUUGAUGCCUGAAUCUCUGUUGUUGUUUUUUUUGUAUUUUUGAAAGAAGUGUUUCUCUAUUUUUGUUACAAUCGAUUUAUCAUGGCUUUUAUAGCCAUUUUUACAAGGUUUUUUUUAAUCUAUUUGUUGUCACUUCUUGCAGGCAAGUGGGUGAAGCAGGUGGUGGCAGGUGCGGCGCAGCAAUGAUGGUGGCAGACGUGCGGCGGCUAGGGGUCAGAUGAUGCUAGGUGCGGCGCACCUAGGGUUAGGGUUUCAGAGAUUAGUUUUAAGGUGUUGGGCUGAUUGGGUUUUGGGCCAUACGGGCCUGCUGGAAUUUGGGUUGUAAAUGGACUGUUUAUGGUUAUUUGGUUUUGGCUUGUUUGUUUGGUAUGGGCUCGGGCUAAUUGGGCCUACUACAGCUGCCCGUCUUUGCUCGUUGUUGUGUAACGAGAAUGGAGCAAAGACUUUUCAAAAGGACCAAUUUGCCCGGUCUAGCCGAAUCUUGGCUUCUUUGGGUGCUUCUCUUUUCAAGCAGCCUCGUUCUAAUCCACUGUGUCUUGUUGCUUCGAUCCACUUCACUACACUUCAGAGAGAUACGGCUUGUAGCUUCAAUCUACUCUGCUGCAACUUCAAGGGGACGAGAUUCGUGGUUUUAGUUUGCUCCACUACAACAUCAAUAAGAUAAGACUUGUUGCUUCAACCUGCUCCACUGCGACUUCAGAGAGAUAAAGUUUGAUAUGAUAAGAUCCGCUAUUUACAGUCUGCUCCACUACAACUUUAGAGAGAUAAGACUCGUUAUGGUAGAUUUAAUCCAACCUACUGCAACUUCAGAGGUUAGGAUUCAUCGUUUUAAUCCACUCCAUUACAACUUUAAGAAGAUAGAAUUAAUAGCUUCAAUCUGCUCCACUGCAACUUUAGGGAGAUAAGAUUAGUAUCUUCAACCUACUCCACUACAACUAUGGAGAUAAGGUCGGUUAUCUUUAGUCUGCUCCACUGCAAUUUCAGGGAGGUAAGACUUGUUAUGGUAGAUUUAAUUCGACCUACUGCAACUUCAGAGGCAUAGGAUUCAUCGUUUUAAUCUGCUCCACUACAACUUCAGGGAGAUAGGAUUGAUAACUUCAAUCUGUUCCGCUGCAAUUUCAGGGAGAUAAGAUUGGUAUCUUCAACCUGCUCCAUUGCAACUUUAGAGAGAUAAGGUUUGUUAUCUUCAGUCUACUCUACUGCAACUUCAGGGAGAUAAGACUUGUUAUGGUAGAUUUAAUCCGACCUAUUGCAACUUCAGAGGUAUAGGAUUUAUCGUUUUAAUCCGCUCCACUACAACUUCAAGGAAAUAGGAUUAAUAGCUUCAAUCUGCUCCGCUGCAACUUCAGGGAGAUAAGAUUGGUUAUCUUCAGUCUGCUUCACUGCAAUUUCAAUGAGAUAAGACUUGUUAUGGUAGAUUUAAUCCGACCUAUUGCAACUUCAGAGGCAUAGGAUUCAUCAUUUUAAUCCGCUCCACUACAACUUCAGGGAGAUAGGAUUAAUAACUUUAAUCUGCUCCACUGCAACUUCAGGGAGAUAAGAUUAGUAUCUUCAACCUUCUCCACUGCAACUUCAGGGAGAUAAGGUUUGUUAUCUUCAGUCUUGGUCUGCUUCGUUGCAAUUCCAGGGAAACAAGAUUCGCUACCUUUAGCUUUAAUCUAUUCACUGUAACGCUAAGGAGAUAGGAUUCGCUGCCUUUAGCUUUAAUCCGCUCCACUUCAGCUUUAAUCUAUUCCACUACAAUGCCAGGGAAACAAGAUUCGCUGCCUUUAGCUUUAAUCUGUUCAACUGCAAAGUUAGGGAAAUAAGAUUUGAUGUCUUCAGCUUUAACACCAAGGAGAUAAGAUUCGCCACCUUCAGCUUUAAUCUGCUCCGCUGCAACGUCAGGGAAACAAGAUUCGCUACCUUUAGUUUUAAUCUGUUUCACUGUAACACCAAGGAGAUGGGAUUCGCUGUCUUCAGCUUUAAUCUGCCCCACUUCAUCUUUAAUCUAUUCCACUGCAACGCUACGGAAACAAGAUUCGCUACAUUUAGCUUUAAUUUGUUUCACUGCAACGCCAGAGAAAUAAUAUUCGCUAUCUGCAAUCCGCUCCACUGCAACUUCAGUGAGAUAAGACUGGUGUCUUUAAUACACUCCACUUCAACUUCGGGAGAUAGGAUGUGUGAUUUCAUCUAUCUGUUCUCUGGGGAACAUGACCUGUAUAAUCCAUUUCAUGGGCCUAUUUAUGCCUAGUGAUUAGGAUGUUAUGAUCGGAAUGAAUCAAAAUCUCCUAACUAAAUGUGCAUGCAUGAAUGCAAAAUGUCAUGUAAAUGAUCCCUUAAUGUUUGAGUUGUUAUUACUCGUUAUUCAUUAAAGCUUUAUUACUAACACCUCAGAACGCCAUCUUGUUCGGCUGGUAACACUCAUAUCUUACUUAACCGGAUUUUCCCCACUGUAAUUUUCUAGGUUCAAUCCACUAUAAUCUUCAAGUUUAAAUCCACUGUAAUUUUGGGACAUAAAAUUUGAACUAUCCUCCUCCCACUGUAAUUUAGGAGUAUAAGAUCUGGCUCUUUCUCAAUCCUCUUCUACUUCAAUUCAAAGAUACAAGAUGUGAAUCUCUUUGGCCUUACACUAUUCCCAAGGUGUCGUACCAAAUGUUUAUGCACGAUUGUAAAAAAAUUUUCUCCGAGAAAACGUCUUCUUAUCACUCGGUGAUCAUUGCUUGUUUGUUCAUUGAAACUUUGUCACCAACACGACAUCUUGUCAUUUUGUUCAAUCAAUGUUUUGACAACAAAAUUCGAAGGGAUAGUCUUAGACUUUUCCCUCUUAGAUAUUUCAAUCUUUAAACUUGGUGCGUUUUAAACAAUAGCCAUGUUUCAGGUUCUUGUAUUAUUUAAAAACUUCUAGAGGAAUAUACAAAACUUCCCUUGUGAAAGUAUUAUGAGUCUAUUAAUCAUUAUUCUAAUGCAACAUGCUUACAAAAAGAUCGUAACAAUAGAUAAAAUAGAAUUGAUUUUGGAGCAUAGCUCAAAAUAAAUUAUCAAGGAUAGCAAGAAUAAAAGAGAAAUUGAUUGGGAACAUAUAUCUUGAAAAAGAAUGAAGUAUUCCAAGAAUAACAAAUUCAAUAUAAAUUGUAUGAAGACUAGGUGCCUCAAACAUCGCAGCUUGAACUUCUCUGUACAACUUUCUGAAGACCAUUCUGAGUUUGACAUGUGUUUAGGAGAUCUAUAGUACUUUGUCGAUGCCCCAAGAUGUCACUUACCCUUUCCUGUUGAUUCAAGUAUAGCGAAAUCACCGCAUGCCCCAAUCUCAUCAAAAUUUGAGCUGCUCUGAUCACCUCAUGUCUCAUUCUGAUCAAAAUUUGGGCCGCUCUUUUCGGGUUUUCAACUUAAAUCCCCUUUGGUCUCAAUACGCCAUUUGCGACUUUUCACAUUGGCUUCUCAUUUUUCUUUUUUUUCUCCUCUUUUUCUUUUCUUUUUUUAUCAUUUCCAUUUUUUUGAAAUAUUUUUUGAUUGAAUCUGAACUCAUAGGAUUAGACAAGUCUAUAUUAUCCCUUUCGAUCAGAAUCAAUGCUUUUCCGGAUAAAGUCUUCCACAUAAGGUCUUUCACUUUUAUUUUGUAUGCGAAAGAUCUUCUUUGGUAUUAGGUUUCUCUCAUAGAGCUUUUUGGGGCGAAAUUUGACUAUGACGAAAAAUUUUGGAUCUUCCUCUUCAAUUGAGAUAAAAUCUAACAAAAACUCGGAGAUAUGGAAACUCGACUUCAAUGGGUAAAACUAUUAUAAGCCAAAGAAAAAGACAUUGCCCCGGUAAAAGUUUUUCCACUGCAUUGUUCAUGAUGUUAAUCUUGAACAUACUGCAAAUUUUUGAUAUCGUGCUGUUGUUCAAAUUUAAUGCAUUGUCAGAUUACAAUGUCAGUGCUUAACCUGGGCAUAUCCUGGUAUGACUAUGCGAAGACAUCUUUGAACUCUUGAAGUAAUUCCACAAGGUCUUGCUUCAUUUCUUCGGUUAUGCAUGUUCCCUCAAGAUUACAAUCUCAUGAGGUAAAAUUUUUUUCUCUUCCUGUUCUACCAUCCUCAACAAGUCUGGAGAUAAGCUACAAUAUAUGUCAUCUUCAAAGUCAUGAGAUCCCUCUAAACAUAUGUCUCACUCAAAAGGAGAUUCUGAGUUUGUAGUAAAGUCACUCAUGUCGUUGAUAUCCAGGGACCUAUUGUAGGUACAAAAGAAUAUAUAAAAAUAUAUGAAUUUAAGAAUAAUUAUAUGUACAGUAUGAUUAUGAAUGAAUGAAAGAUUGAUUUGGAAGAAAAUCCAAAAGAAUGACAGAAUCAAAAAUAAUUAUUCGUAAAGAAUGAAAGAAUAUUGGCUCAAAAAUGAUCGCAAAGAUGUAUUUCAUUAAAAUAAUGACGUUGAGACAUGAGCCUAUUUCACAAAGGAGUUCUUAUUGCCUCUAGGCUGAAAGCAACAAGUGUGUUCUGAAUAUUACUCUAAGUAGGCUCUAAAUACUACAGAGAUUUCUUCUGCAGUCUAAUUAUUUAGAACACUCUCAAGUUUAUAAGGGCCAAUAUCUAACAAGGUUCAUUUUCAGUUGUGUCUUCAUGUAUGGCAUUGAUGUGAACGUUUCCCUCCUUUUUAACUUCUUCAAAAAACUUAAUUUCUUUAUUUUCCAUCAUGCCUUGAACCGAGGCCCUGAAUUCUACACAUUUUUGGAUUUCGUACCCUUCCUCGUGAUGGAAUUCAUAGUAAUUUCUCAUCCUUCCAUUGCUCCAUUCUAAAUCUGAAAGUAUUAACCCUCUUCUUGCCAUCUCCUUCUAGACCCAUCUCAAAGGAGUUUUUACUUCUGUAAUAUCUGUCUUGAUUUUUCUCCCCAUAUUUUCACUCAUCAUGUUUACCCAUUAUCAGCAUGAUUGAGUAGCGGAUUUUCUGCAUUGGGUGAAUCAUCGAAUUUGACAAUGCCCAUAUUGAUGAAUCUUUCAACUAACUUUUUGAAGGCAGUGCAGUUUUCUAUCGAGUGCCCUGUGAUUCCUGCAUGAUAUUCUCAUUGGGCGUUUGCAUCAUACCAUUUGUGGUACGGGGGUUGUAGAGGUUCUAAGUAGAAAAGGGAAAUAACGUAUGCAUUAAAUAAACUCUGAUACAACUCCCUAUACGACAUUGGGAUUGGCGUAAAUUAGAGAUUCUCGGUAUUUUGCUUUGCGCUAGAUUCUUGCCUUGAUGAACCUUGUUAACCAGCAACCACUUUUCUUGGCUGAUUUACAGUAACUGGUUUUGAGUAACCAUUAUUACACGUGUUUGCAUUAUUCAUAUUAUUUUCCGUUCUCCUUGAGGCUGACUUUUUGUUACUCUAUCCUGCAUCUAUUUUUCCAUUUUUUAUGUCAUUUCUCAAUCAUUUCACCAUUCAUGAUUAUAUCUGAAAAAAAUUUUGUGGCACUUCCAAACAUGCGCGUGAUGAACGGGGCCUUUAGCGUUUUGAUAAAGAGCAUAGUAGUUUCUUUUUUUAGGAGCGGUGACUAGGCUAAUUUACCAAAAAAAGCCCAUUUUUUUUAAAAAAUUACCGAAAUGGGCCAGUUUUUUAAUUAUUUACCGGAAUGGGCCAUUUUCCGCGAAAUCACGUCCACGUCAGCGCGAUGUCAGGGUACGUGACAGGACAUCGCGUCCACGUCAGCGCGACCUGCUGACGUGGAAAUAAAUCGCGUCCUUGAGAUAGCGAUUUCCUUCCACGUCAGCAGGUCGCGCUGACGUGGACGCGAUGUAGCCGCGCGCUUGAAUAGUGCCCAACGGUCAAAAAAUUGACCGUUGCCUCCCCAACGGUAAAAUAUUUUUUUUACUAUAUAAACCCCUCACCCCUUUUAUUUUCACAAACAAAUUCAAUAUCAAUUUCCUUCAAAAAUUCUCUCAAAUUCCUUUCAAAAUUCUCUCAAACUCUCAAAUUCCUUCCAAAAUCCUCUCAAUUUCCUUCAAAAAAUCUCCAAAUCCAUAUUAAAUUUCUUUUUCCAUUAAAUUUCAUUAGUUUAAGAAAUUUUUAAAAUUUUUUAUUUUUUUAAAAUAAUUUUAAAAUUUUUAAUAUUUUCAACAAUGGCUGGAUCAUUGAUUCGUCUUGAUAGGAAUCACAUAUCGGUGGAGCAAAUGAACAUGGUAAGUAUUAAAUUUAAAUUUUAAAUUUUAUUUAAGAUAUUUUUAUUUAAGUAUUUUUAGAUAUUUAUUAAUUUAUUUUUUGUUAUAAAAGGCUGAAGAUCGGGUAUUGGAAUGCAAUAUUCGGAAUAUGCAUGCUCCUCCAUCACCGUUAGUAGAGAACUACCUGCGGGAAGCGGGAUUUUGGCACGUGGCGAUGGUAGGCCGGGGAUGCAAGUUGGAGCCGAAACUGAUCAGUGCGUUGAUGGAGAUGUGGAGACCUGAGACGCACACAUUUCAUCUUCCAUGUGGAGAGUGCACUAUCACUCUAGAAGAUGUCCAUCUGCAUUUGGGAUUGCCGGUGGACGGGCACCCAGUCACUGGGUCUGCCCAAUCUAGCAAUUGGGAGGCGGUGUGCUAUGAGCUUUUGGGCGCCGUUCCGGAUAAAAUGGAUGGAGGUAAGGUGGAGAUGGGCUGGUUACGUGUCACAUUCGCCGGUCUGAAUGAAAAUUCAACCGAAAUUGAAAGAAUCCGAUAUGCUCGAUCAUACAUUCUUCAAAUAAUUUGAGGCUAUCUUAUGGCCGACACGUCACGGAGCCGUGUACAUCUAAGGUGGCUGCUAAAACUCGUUGAUUUUAGAGCAACCGGUGAAUUUAGUUGGGGGUCUGCCGUCUUGGCAACAUUAUAUCGGGAGAUGAGCGGGGCGACCAAACCGAGGAGAGUAAAAAUUGGAGGAUGCCUGUCACUACUGCAAUCAUGGGCAUGGUUUCGCUUUCCAUUUCUACGUCCUCGAGUGAACCACCCAUAUACAUUCCCACUCGUAACGAGAUAAAUUUUAUAUUACAUUUUGAAAUUGUUAUGUAGAUUUUGUAAGAAUAAAAGUAUGCUAAAAAUUUAUUUAAUUAGGUGGAACCAUCUGGUGAGUUAUCGUGGAUUACCGUCUGAACUUGAAGAUAUAUGGCUUCUAUUGGACCAACGGUCGGAAGCAGAAGUAAGUAUUAUUGCAAAUAGAUAUUUCCAUACAUUCGCUAGUGGAUUGAUAUUUAGUAUUUACUAUUUAGUAUUAUGUAUAUAAGUAAUAUUUCUAUCAUGUUCAUGUAGUUUCAACGGACACCAUAUGAGGAUCCGGCAAUCCGGGUAGUAAUCCCGGAAGAGUUUUUACAAAAUCCGGACGCUUGGCACGUGAAAGUGGUGUUGAUCAACUAUGCAACUGUGGAGCCCCACCAGACAGACAGAGUCCUACGACAGUUUAGAUGUAGACAACCGAUCCCUGCGGACCCUGAGGUGUUUGACGAGCACCACAAAAUCGACCUUCGGCUAUGUUUUAACGACGUGGUAAUUAACGCCGUUUUUGAUGCUAUGCUGUUUCAAAGCACCAAUAAAACUAUCCUUAUUGGUAAACUGGUUACCAACUUCAAGUUCACCGAGAUCUACCUCCGAACUUGUACGAUCGCGCACCCAGUGUGGUAGAUCUGGAAACUCUAACGCAUCAUCAUUUGACAGAUCCACAUUAUGCAUGUGGGCUGGAGGUGAAUAUGCUCUGAAUCGUGGAUUUUCUUCAUCAUCUGCACUCUUAUCACCAUCUUCACCUUCUGUUGGAAUAGGCUCCGGUUCAGAAAAUAAUCCCACCUCUGCACCAUCCGGCCCGGGCUCUCGAGGUGGAUCCACAUCGGAGUCACCUUCUAACCCACAAUCAUCUGCAGCGUACGACGUCCCCUCACCGGUUGAUGUCGUAGGUAGUACGUCAUCCCUUCUUCUGGGCAUUUGAUAACGUCCCCAAUUAGAUGUAGAUUGCCAUCCAGUAGAACUUGAUGCAGUUCCCCAGCUCGUAUUUCCAGCGUCAAACGUCGAGCCACCGACGUACAUGUCCCAUCCACCGACAAAGUGUCUAGGGGGAUAUGCAUUCGACAUCGCUACCGAACAGGCUGUUCCGUAUUUUAUAACACGCUAACCGAGUGUCGGCCUGGGGUCGUGUAUACAUCUUGAACAUCAGACGAAAGUACAUCAGUUGGCGACGUAAAUUGUACAUAUAACUCAAUAUAAGUUGCUCCGCUAGUAAGAUGAGUGUGCACUAUUGCCUCCAAGCUACGAGCACCUUUUAUGUCGAACGAGUCAUAUGUCACAGGAUCAACAGAAGAACAAAAUCGAUACGUCAUUGACAGAACUUUCAUUGGCGUCGUUCCGAAGAUUUUACGCCUAAUUCUUUUACGGAGUUCUGUCAAAUCUAUGUUUUGACUAAAUGACAGUCGCACCGUAUUCUCCAACAAAAAAACAACACCAUUCUCGGUGUGGCAAACCUCACCAUCGUAGUAAAUAACAGUACUAAUACGUUCACUCAUUUUGAAACUCUUUGUUUCUUAGCCUCUCUAAAAUGUUUCUGCUGUGAGUUAUGCAUUCUAAGAACAUUUUCUGCCUAAUUUAUAGCCUCAGCCCAAACUUGCUACUGUAGUAAAAUCGCGUCCACGAGGGCGCGAUUUGACACUAUUUGCUUAGAAACGUCAAAAAAAUUAUUUUCUACAUGACCAACUGUAGCGAAAUCGCGUCCACGAGGGCGCGAUUUUACAAUUUCUUCUCAUAUAGCAUCCUGGUAUCAGCGAUUUUAUACUAUUUGCUCAGAAAACGUCAAAAAAAAUUAUUUCUUACAUGACCACUGUAGCGAAAUCGCGUCCACGAGGCCACAAUUUCACAAUUUCUUCUCAAAUAGCAUCCUGGUAUAAGCGAUUUCCCACUAUUUGACCAGAUACAUCAACUCGAAAAAAAUUUUUCCAAGACCCCUAACCCCUAAAAAGCCUACGCCCUAAACCUUAAAAGCCAAAAAACCCAACGUAAAAUCAUCAUCAAAAUCGCGUCCCCGGUACCGCGCUACGUGGCAAGACAUCGCGUCGACGUCAGCGCAACCUGCUGACGUGGACGCGAUGUUCUGUCACGUACCCUGACAUCGCGCUGAUGUGGAUGCGAUUUCGCGGAAAAUGGCCCAUUCCGGUAAAUAAUUAAAAAACUGGCAUAUUUCGGUAAUUUUUUAAAAAAAUAAGCUUUUUUUGGUAAAUUAGCCCGGUGGCUAGACCUGGAAGGCAACUUCCCUCCAUAUCUGUGCAUAUUACCUAAAACUCUCACUCAGUUUCUUCUCCAUGUUCUGCAGAGUAAUUCUAUCAGGAGUCAUGUCCGUUACAUGACUAUACUGCUUCAUGAAUGCUUGGGAUAGAUCCCUUCAUGAACCAAUCCUGGUACUGUUUAAUUGAUUGUACCAUUUGGACGCUGCCCCUACCAAACUGUUUUGGAAAUUGUGUAUUAACAGUUGGUCAUUAUUAACGUAACCAGUCAUCCUCUGAAAAACAUGGUGAUGUGAGCCUCAGGGCAGCUGGUUCCAUUGUAUUUUUGCAAAGUCUGGCAUUUUAAACUUGUAAGGAAGUACUAAGUCUGGAACCAGGAUCAGAUCUGUAGCGUCGAAUCCAUGAUGACUAUCAGCACUUUCCAUGGCUUUGAAUUUUUCCUCCAACCAUUUACAUCUGUCCUCCAGCUGCUUUGGCAAUUCCGCCUUUGCUUUUUCCUUCUCAGCCACUUCAUCUAAGUUGGGUUUAACAGGAUUAGUUGGGUUAUCUCCUGGGUUUAAACCUGAUCCAACUUGAAAGUUCAUUGGCAUUGAAGCAUCGGCCUGAAAUUGUUGAGGUCCAAUUGUGACUAAUGGUUUCCACGGGUGCAUCUCAGCUUGGGUCUGUACAUUUGGUGGAGUAAAACCCGGAGGAUAUAGCAACUCCUCACUAUCUUCCCCAGGAUUGGCCAUAGGGCUCUUUUUCCUUAUCUACUCCUCCAGUUAGUAAUUGGGUCAAUUGAGCCAUCAUAUUUCUUUGAUAUUCCAACAACUUUUCCGUAAUAUCUUACUGAACUUUAGCUAGCUGCUCUUGCAUUUGUGUUUGUAGGUGAUCUUGCAUCUCCUUUUAAAAUUGUUCAAGUCUUUCCAAUCUUUGGUUCAUGCUUCUUGACUUUGCUUGAGUACCGUAACUGUGUUUGGUUGGUAAAUUUUUUUUGGUUUCCAGAUUAAAUGAAAUGGUUUUAAUCAAUUAGAAUCUUUUUGGUGGACUUUAAUGCAUAUGAUGUAAUGUAAUGGAAAUGCAUGAAAUGAAUGCAAAAAAAGACGUUGAUUCUAUAUUCAAUUCUAUUAGAACAACUUUACUAGAAAACAAAUCUCUUUACAUAAAGCGAAUAUAUAUACGGCCUUGCCCUCAUACUUCGGGCAAAGACAUCGAUCAUUUUCUUCAUCCGGAUGUUAAGAUAAAUCUCACGACUUUUUCAAUGGAUGCCUCUACUAGCUCCUUUUUGUUUGAUCCGAGCCGCAACUCAUUAUUCGUUCAUCCUCGUGACGCUCGUUAGCUUCUUUAAAAAGGUCAGGGCAUUGACGACUCUCGAACAAUCUUUGUCAACUUGAAUACUCAGGAAACGAAGCAAAGUCAUGUAGUUCUUCAUUAAACUAUCAUCCUUCUCUUGUCAAGUUUUCCUGGACCAUAUUCGGACAACCGCAUUGUCUUCCACUUUAUCAAGAAAUCUAUUUUCGAUUACAAGCUCUCUAUUUAACAAUUGAACGUGAAUCAACACCUCUUUUUUUAUGAUGAAAAUGCAAUGCAGUCAUAACCAAAACAAAACAAGUUAGUACAAGGCAAAAGCAAGUAGGAAAAGAAAAAAAUAAAGCACCUACUUGGAUGACCACUAGGGUUUGGAGUGGUUCUACCUAGGUUAGGCUCUUAGGGCUCACUACAUGCUGUUCGGUUCUAAAGAGAGGGUAUCUAAACCAGCAGAUUAUUCGAUCCUCGCCCAUUACAGGCUCAUAUAGACCGAGUUCAGUUCAGGGGAAUACAUUUCCCUAUGGCUGCACGGAGAUGAAAAUCUCAUGAAGGCAUAGGUACGGAUGUAUCUCGAAAGCGAUCGACUAUCCUACACAGAGGUGAAGACCUUACGAAGGAAUAGUUUCUCACUCCCACUUAAAAGGGUUAGAUCAACCGAUCAUGUGAUACAAUAUGCAGAAAGAUACCAAAACUUAAACCAACACAGCAAUUAUAAACCACAAUGAUGAAUAUCGUAAUAAAGACGGAUGAAAUGCAACGAAAGGAUCGUACAUUUAAACCAAGUUUUGAAUUUUAGACAAAAAGACAAAAACUAAUCAACUCGUGGCUUGACUCACUUAUUUUGGAUCCCUAGUGGAGUCGCCAAGCUGUCGAAACCAUUUUUUUGUAAAAAUGUCGUUUACUUGGAUUUUAAAAACGAAAAUGAACAUGAGAGUCGCCAUCAAUAUUUUUUUACUAAGGUGUGAUUGGAGCACCUCAUAAUUGGUUGUUUUUAAUAAAAGAUUUGAUUUUAUUAAAACAAUAAUUUUAGUUCAUGAAAUUCAGAAAAACGGGUUCGGGAAUCGGUUACAUACGAGGAAGGAUGAGCACCCUCGUAACGCCCAAAAUUAGUACCUAGUUGAUUGAUUAGUGUUUUAGUGUCGAAGAUUGAAAACUUUAAAGAGAUUCAAAAUACGAUCCUUUGUUAAAAUGCUUGUAUAAAUCAAAUUACCCGUUAAGAUCCUUUCAUUUUGGUGAGAGAAAAUGUCACACCCAAUGAGUUAGGGCAUGAUAUUUCACCUCCUCAAAAAUGAGUUUGUCCUAAAAAAACUCAUGCAAUAAAAUUUAAAAGGAUAUUCAAUUGUUUAAGUCAGAUGAAGAAAUCGUAUCCCAAUAUGUUAAGGCACAAUUUCUCAAAAUUCCAAACAUUGAAUAUUGCUUUAUUAUUUUUUUAGAAAAAUCCUCAUCUUGAGAAAACAACAUGUCAUAUCCAAUGCGUUAUGACACAACAUAUCGAAUUCCCGAUAAUGAGCUUUUUAUUUAUGUGUUUUGAUUAAAGAAUAUUCUCGAUUAUUUGGAUUCAAUGAGGAAAAUUAGAACCCAAUACGUUAGGUGUCAAUCCUCUCGAAGAUCCCAAAUACCGAAUAUUACAUUAUUUAGAAAAAUUUUCCUUUUUGAAUUUGGAUAAAAAUUAUGUAUGUUUAGUUCACUCGAAUAUGGUAUAAAGUAGAGCUAAAAUGUAAGGGAAAUGUCAUGUUUAAUGAAAAUGCUACCGCAACAUAAUUUGAAAUAAUAUAAAAAACUUGCAUGUACAUGAAACAAUGAGAUAUCUAAAAUAAUAAAAGAGCAAUAGCAUUUACUAGUUAAAUCUAAUAUUAAUUAAACAAAAAUAAAUAAAUAAAUAAAAAUGGAAUGUAUAUAUAAUAAAGUAAACAUGAAAGUAUUAUAAUAAUAAUACUUAUAAUAAUUGUAAUAAAAUAAUAAAAAUGACUAUAAUAAUAAAUAAAAAUACUUAUGUUUAUAUUGAUAAUAAUAUUACAGUAAAGAAAAAUAAUAUUAAUAACAAGAGUAAUGCUAAAAAUAGUAUUAAUAGCGAAAAUAAUGGUAUAAUCUUAAUAACAAUAAUACUAAUAAAAAUUUUAAUAAUAAUAAAGAUGGUAAUAAUAUUAAUUAAUUUAAAAAAAUUGCAAAUGAAAAAAAAUGAAAAAAAAGGACUAUAAUGAACUAAAAAUAGAAAUUCGAGGCAAAUUUGAAAUAAUUUAAAAAAGGGGAACCUAUUUGGACGUGCGAAUAACAUGGAGGGACCAAAUGGGCAAUUUUCCCCACUCUCCAAAACGCGCAGCUUCAAAAGGGACCAAAUUGAAAGCCAAAAUAAAUCACAGGGUAAGAUUUAAAAAAUAAGAUGAACUUAAUUGCAAAAUAAUUUAAAAGCGGAAGGGCUGAAUGCGCAAAUAGACCCUUCCACAAAAACACGUGGAUCCUCUUGCGGGUCGGGUCAGUGCGCGGGUUAAAGGACGAAACGACGUCGUUUUGGCACCCGGAGCACUGGCCCAAAACGACGCCGUUUCGUAGGCCUAUUUAACUUAAUUUUUUUUAAAAAAAACCUCAUUUCUUCCCUUCUCCAAAAAAAAAAGGACUUUCUCUAAAAAAAAACCUCUCCCAUCAGCCCAUGAAUCAGGCUAGGCUCCAGUCACCAGCCACCGCGCCAGCCAUCGGUCACCGACGAUGGCGCCACUGUCUGCGGUGGCCGAAAAACUAAAAAGGUUUCCUUUAUUUUUUCGACACACACCCUUAGCCUCAGAUUCGCUUUCGACGACGGUGACUAAGGUAAAAGGCCUCCUAUUUUAUUUAUUUAUAUUUCGAAAUAAAGAAAGAAAUGAAGAAAUAAAAUAAAAACUAAAACGUGAACCACCUUAAAGUAUGGUUUUUAUUUAUUUAUUUUGUAUUUGAUUGUGUGUUUGAAUCUAAUGUAUUUUGAUGCCUGAAUCUCUGUUUUUUUUUUUUUGAAAGCAAUGUUUCUCUCUUUUUGUUACAAUCGAUUUAUCAUGGCUUUUGUAGCCAUUUUUACAAGGUUUUUUUUAAUCUAUUUGUUGUCACUUCUUGCAGGCAAGUGGGUGAAGCAGGUGGUGGCAGGUGUGGCGCAGCAAUGGCGGUGGCAGACGUGCGGCGGCUAGGGGUCAGAAGACCCUAGAUUCGACGCACCUAGGGUUAGGGUUUCAGAAAUUAGUUUUAGGGUGUUGGGCUGAUUGGGUUUUGGGCCAAAGGGGCUGCUGGAAUUUGUACUUUAAAUGGACUGUUUAUUGUUAUUUGGUUUUGACUUGUUUGUCAAGUAUGGGCCCGGGCUAAUUGGACCUACUACAAAUGAUAUAGUUAAAACCUUAAUCUUUGAGAUGCUAACAAUGUAUUUAACUAUUGCUUCGCUACGCAAUUGGUUCUCUUAUUUGAUAUCUAUUUUAAAUUUCUAUUUUUUUAUGAUUAUUCUAUGUUGUUUUAGGUUUAAGGUCAAAAAAAAAAAAAAUCCUUAAUAAGAAAAUAAAAAAUGUAAUUAAGCCAUUAGGAAAAAAAUUUCAUCCUAUUCAGCCCUUUAAUGAUCCCUCAAAAAAUUAACUAGGCCCUUUCGUUAGCGAAAAACGUUAGUUGAUCCGUUUGACUGGUAACUUUGUCAACAUGGCAAACAAUGUUGACGUGCCAAAAUUUUAAAGAUUAUGUGCGUUGAUGUGGUAGUCUACGUCAACACAAAUAAAAAAAAUGUUAAAAAUAGAUAAAUAUCGAGAAUGAACCUAGAGAACCAUUUGUCCAUAUUUAAUUGAAUCUGGGUAACCAUUUAACCAAAUUCAUUGAAUAUGAGUGGAAAACUAUAAUUUUUUAAAAAGGUAUAUAAAAUUUAUUAAAAAUUACCAAAAAUUUAUAAAAUUUUAAAUAUGUAAGAAUUUAUCAAAUUUAUUAAAAAUUUAUAAAAAUAUUAAAAAUUAUUUUAUUUAUAUAUACUUUAUGUUUUCGUUUUUCUUUUUCUUUCUAUUAUCUUUCUUUUACAUCUCUUUACGAGGAAGAUUGCAUGACACCCUAUUCAUUUUGAAUUAUAUCAAAAGCUUUUGUAGUUCUGAACUCUUUCAUGGCACUCUCUAUCGUUUUUUUUAUUAAUUUUUAAUAUUGUUUUAUAAAUUAUCAAUUAAAUUUGAAUUUUUCAUAAUUUUAAAUUUUCAUAACAUUUUAUAAUUUUAGUAAUUUUAUUAAAAUUAAAAAAAAAAUUAUAACUUUAUACUCAUCUUGAAUGAAUUUGGACAAAUGAUUAUCUAAGUUCAUACUAGAUGUAUAUAUAUAUAUAUAUAUAUUAGUUUUAAAAUAUUUUGAUAAAUUUUUUUUGCUAACGUUGUAUGACAAGUUAGUGCACAUAAAAUUUUUAAUUUUUUGAUGAUGUAACAUGUCAUUUCAGCAUGGUUUUACAUAUCAACAUCUCAUGUUAGUGUUGUCUACCAUAUUAACAAAGUUAACGGUCAAAUCGGUUAACUAAUGGUUUUCGUUAACAGAAGAGCCUAGUUAAAUUUUUUUGGAGGGAGGAGGGACACUAAGGGCUCAAUAGGAUGAACUUUUUUGCUAAGGGCUUGAAUACAAUUUUUUUUUCACUAAGGGCUUUUUUGUCCCUUAAGUCCAAAGAAACUUAGAAACAUGAGAAAUUGGAGGAGUAGAAAAAAUAGAAAGAAGAAAAAUAUAAUUUUUCUGACCAUGGAUGUGCUUGGUAGGAAAGAUGGAAAAAUUAAAAGAAAUAUAUAUUUUUUUUCCGCCCAUUGCUUAGUACAGUUGAAAAAUGUAAGGAAAAAAAUUAAAUAUUUGAAAAAAUGCAUACCUUUGAACUAAUAUACAACUCUCUUUUGUUUUUUUGCCCUCUUUAUCAUUCUAAUUUGAGGGAUCAGCUUUUACGCGUUAGGGUAGAAAAUGAUCAUAUUUAUUAUUUUCAUUCCUCACACUUUUCUCCUCUAUCGAGCACACUCAAAACCUAUUUUUUUCCACUCAUUUAUUUCAUCAUUCAAUUCAUUUUCCACCUAACCAAACACACCCUUAGUUUAUAAAUACUAUUGACCUUAAUAUAGGAAAAUGGAUAAGAGAUAUAACCCCCAAAAAUUAUGGUUAGUUUCACAUUACUUUUGAUAAGUUUGGCUUAAGAUUUAAUUGUUUGGUAUCACUAGCAAAAAGUGUUUUUAAUACGAUAAAAUGUCAAUUUUAUACUUGGUGUUGUACAAUAAACAAUAUAAAUUUAGACGAUAUUUAAAUUUGUUAAUAUUAUGAUAUUUCAAUCAAAAAAUAAUAAUUAAUAUGUUUAGAAUUAGACUGAUGGUCGAACCAAUGAUUUCAACCAGCCCAAUUGGUUCAAUUAAAUAAUCAUUAAAAAAAUAUUAAGAGAAAAACUCGGUUCAGUUGAUUCAAUCGGUUCAAUACCAUUCUCCAACAUGGUAUCCCAUUCGAUUCAUACAUAAUUCAAGAUAAUUGACGGUAACUCAUUAUUAAUAUCUUUGAUGUAUGAAAUAUAAUUUUUCAAUACAAAUUAUAUAAAUUGUUUAGAAAAAAAUAAUUUGAAUAUAUCAUUUGUAUUUUUGACGUUAAAAUACAAUAAUUAUAAAUUCAAGGCUUAAUGCAUAAUGUAGCACUGUUGACACUUUUUUUAAUGUGGUACAUGUAAUUUUUUGGGUCCAAUGUGGUACCUGAAUUUGACAAAAGUUGUAUAUUAUGGUUCUUGAAGAUAAUAAUGUUAACUUUUUAGUAUUUAAUUUUAGUUCUAGAGUUCAUUAGAUAAAAAUUAAUAAUUAGCUCUCAAUAUUAGCAAUUAACUUUCGAUAUUUGACAAAUUAAACAAAUUCACAAUUAACAUUAAAGUUAUUCUAUUACCAAAAUAAUGAAAAAUUCAAAUAUAUUAGAAAUUAAAUUUAAUUAAGCUCAGAGGCGUAACUAGGUGGGCUGGCAAGGGCCCUGACCCCUAAAAUGGCCCUUUAAAAUUUUAAAAAUUUAAAUUAAUAAAGGAAAAAUUGCACUUGGCCCCCUAAAAAUGAUAAAAAUUUGAUUUAAUCAUUUAAAAAUUACAUUUUUACCAUCGUAAAAAUUAAAAUUUAAUGUCACCCCCCUAAAAUUUUUUUUGACUUCACCCCUGAUUAUGUCAACCCCAUAACUCAAAUUUAACAUUAAAAAGUUAACAAUAAUACUUUUGAGCACUAUAAUGUACAAAAUUUAUGAAAGACAUAUAUCAAACUGGAAAAAAAAAUAACACAGGUACCACAUUAAAAAAAAGAUGUCAAACUCAAAUAUCAAAUAAUAUAUUAAACCUAAAUUCAAUAAACUUCAACAAGAAAAUGAUUGAAUAACUAAGAUAAAUAGUAUAAAAAAUAAAUUGGAGAAUAAAUAAGAUUUUAAAUUUAAAUGAAAAAAAAACUAAAAAUUGUGUUGGUAAAAUAGGAUAAAAGAUAUUUGAGAAAAUUUAAUUUCAUGGAUUUAUAUUGAAGUAAAAAAGAAAAGUUAAGGAGUGAAAUUGAAAUGAGAAAAUCUCUUAGAUUUUCCAAAAUGAAAGCAUAUGCCUCGUCCACACACUUUCUCCACUUUCCCACCAAAUCAACAAAAUCCACAGUCGAGUCACGCCAAGCAUUCCAAAGCUAACCUAAAAAAAAGAAAGGUAAAUCCCAAACGGCGGUGAUUGACUAGGAUUGUAAUUGCCUAAAUUUAAGGUUAUAGAAACAGUGAUUUCGUAACCACAAAUCCAAUUUAAAGAGAAAUUUAUUUUAAUAUUUUGCAUGAAUAUUGAUAUGAUAGGAAAAUCGUAUGAAAAUAUCAAGAGAAAAAUUUUACCAAUUUAGUGGUUAGUUAGAAAAAGAAAUUAUUGAAUAAAUUGGGUAAAAACAAGGUAUCGAGACCUUGAUCUCGUAAAACUGAGUCAAAAAUAUUUUUAUAAAUAUUUAUGAAAUGUUAGUAAUAUGGUAUUAAAAUUCGUUAGAAAAUUUUAAUGUUUGUGUAGUCAAUUAAAUGAAAAUGACUAAAUUGGAAAAAGUGUAAAAGUGGCUGGGAUGAUUAAAUAGCUUAAGUGUCUAAUGAGAAAGGAUUUAAAAGACAAUUAGACCCAAAAUUUAUUUGGGCUGGACGGCAAGGGCAUGAAAUCAGCAAGAAAAUGGAUGAUUUAAGGGUAAAAUUGGAAUAUUGCAUAAUUAACUAAAUAAAAUUAGGACUAAUGUAGAAAUAUCUAGAUUUCUUGUGAUUUCUCUUCAUUCUCAUCAGCCAAAACGCUAUAGGAGGGGUUCUUUAAGCUGGUAUUUCAUAAUUUUUGCACAAAGUAAGUUAAUCCUUGCAUUUUUCUUGUAAUAUUUGUGCUUUUAAAACUUUUACAACUAGGUUCUACUAUUAAAUUCAUUAGUUUUUGAUUUCAAGGAUGAAAUUGAAAGUCACCAUGGUUGAGUGCUGUAAGUUUAUAAUUAAAUAACAUGAAAUUGAAGCUUUAAUUUGUUUAUGAGAUGAUUUUAUUAGGUAAUUUUAAUAGAAAUUGAUUUUUAGGACCUAAUUGUGAAAAAGUUGGAAUUAAAGUCUAGUGCUGAAAUUCUUAUUCCCAAAGGUUAUAAAGUAGUUUAAAGUGACAGAAUAAAGUGUUAAUUGAGAAAAAAUAGCUCAAUUGAGAGGUUAAUUGAGUAGGGACGAAAUUAUCAUUUAUUAAAAGCUUAGGGGAAAAUGGCAAUAAACAUCUUGCACUAAAACAGUUUUGGAUAGCAGUAGUAAGCUAACUUUGAAAAAUCACCAUAUAUUGUGGAAAUCGAAUUAGAGGAUGAAUAAAAUAUGAAAUUCAAGCUUAUUGAGUCUAGUUUCUCAUAGAAGAAACGAUAUAAGUAAUAGAAUUGUAAAUCAUGAGAUAUAAUAAAUUGUGUGAGACAAUGUCAGAAUGAAUUCAGGUUCCCCUAUUCUGACUUUGAAAAAUCAUUAAAAAUUGGAUAAAAAUAAUUAGGGGUUAAAAUUUAUAUUUUUAAAUUAUUAAUGAGUCAAUUUUCAAUAGAAACAAGCAGAAACAUCAUCCAAAUUUUGUACUAAGAGAUAAUUAAUUUUUAGCAAAGAAAGGUCGAAGUUGUCACACAACAGAACAUGGGUAAGUUUGAGGAUUUUACUGUACUUAUUGGUUGUCUGACAGCUUGGUAAAAAGGGGUAAGUUUGAGGAUUUUACCAUAAAAUUUUAUGAUAAAAAGGUAUUUUAGUCUAGUUUCAGAAACACCAAGAGGUUUUUAAUUUGGAAUUCUAUAGCUUGAGAUAUAAAUAAUUUAGUGACUACGACUCAAGUAGACAGCUUUGAGUGAACUAUAAAUAAUAGUGGAAUUAUAGAGAAUGUUACAUAUGAACAUGAAAUGUAUUAAAUUGAUAUUAAAUUUAUUUAUUUAGAUCCAGAAAAUUCAAAUAUGAAGCUAGAUCGAGGAAAGGAAAAAGUUCGAGAUUAGUAGAUUUUUCUAUACGAACAAGUAUCGAGGUAAGUUCGUGUAACUUGAAUUAUAUUCUUAAAUGCUUUAAAUGUAUGUUAUUAAUGUGAAUAUGAUUUAAAUGUUCAUUGUAUGAAAAUUGAUGAGACAUUGAUAUAUUUGAUAAAAAUGGGAAGAAAUCUCGGUUGAAUGAAAGGAAAAUUUGAUGGAUCUUUAAAAAGGAAUUGACGGAAAAAAAAAUCUAGCCCGGACGGGUGAUCCUAUCCUGAUAUAGCCCUCCUGAAGAAUAUGUGUAAAAUGGAUUUAGCCUGGACGGGCAAUCCGAAUUAGGGUCUGAAUUUAGCUUGGACUAGUAAUUCAGAUCCAAGCUCAUUAGAGUAAAUUGUCGUUGCAGGGCUGUUAAUCCCGACAACACUCUAUAAGUUUAUAUUAUAGGAGAUUUAGCCUAGACUGGUAAUCCCGCUGUAAGGAUGAGGUUCGCGGGAGUGUGCUCUUUAAAAUGGAAAUGCGCGCAAUAAAUAUGAAUUUAUAGACCCGGAAUAGUAUGCUAAAAGCGUACCUCUGAAAAUCCAUCGAAAUUUUGAGAAAUUCAACGGGAUAAAUAUGGGAAAUAAUAAGGGUAAUAGAAAACAUGGAAUUGAUGAGCUCAUCAAUCAUUAAUCUUUGUAUUGAACUCAUAUAAUGUUAUCUGAUUAAUGUUUUGGUUGAGUUUUUGUGUGAUAGGUAAAUGGUAAAUUGAAUGGAUGUAUGAAUAUUUAUUGUAUUGUAUUGAAAAUAUUAGGUAAGUAUAAUUCUUGUUACAUGAGCUUACUAAGCACAACGUGCUUACCCUAUUUCCUUUUUCCCUGAUUCAUAGUAUUAGAGCUCCGAGGUCGAAUUCGGUCGGAGACACAUCACAAUAUCAACUUCAACAUUUUGGUAUAUCAAGAAACUUUAUUUUGGAAUCAAUGGCGUGUAUAAGUUGAUAAAGUAAAUGUUAAUGUGAAAUGAAUGUAAAAUUAGCCAUUGGUAUGGUUAUCAAAUCCUAGUUUUGGUAUGUGAUGAGGGAUAUGCGCAAAUCUAUCUUGAAAAUGCGUUGAAUUGGAUUGGUUGAUUUGGUUUGAUAUCUAUGUAUGUUUUGGGCUUCGGAGGCCCAUCUAAGGGACGUCAUAAUAUGUUUCAAUAAAAGAAUAGUAUUUGAUUCGUAAUAACAAAAAAAUUUAAUUCAAAAAACUCCGAUAAUGCAUCGUACCCUAUUCCGACGACGAAUAUAGGUAAAGGGUGUUACAAGGAUUGUGGGUCCCAUUUGACCGGAUGUCAAGCAUGGACUUCAAAUCCAUUUAAUAGAAUCCAAAUUGGAAACUGGACUUGGCUAAUUAGUAAAUCCCCCGAUAAAUUAAAAAAAAAGAAGCAAAAAGUAAGAGCCCCGUGAUAAUUUGCUUCCCCAUGCGCUUGCAUCUCCAUCAUCCCUCACUCUCUCUGCCUUUUUUUCUCUACUUCGGCCUCAUUAUAUAACCUCUUGUCCCCCACCCCUCUCUCUCCACCACAAUCUCCCUCCUUCACGUUUCUUUUUUCCUAACUCUCUCUACCACCUAAACCUCCUUCUAUUCUUUUUUCCGUUUUAAUGAAUGAGUUAAAUAGCAAGAAGCGGGCUAGGGAUGACGUGAAGAGACUCAGAGAUGAUUUAUCUCUUACUGAUUCAGAUUCCUUGCCUCUUAAUCAUGACCUUGCAUCUGUAAUGAAGAGUUUUAAAGAAGAAAUGGAAGUCAUCCCGUGACUUCGACGGAAUCUAUGCCGAUCGUGGAUCUCACUUCAGAUUUCGGUGACUUACAACCAAAUCUUGGUUACCUUCUUGAGGUUUCAGAUGAUGAACUUGGUCUGCCUUCCCAUACGGCUCCCACAACUGAUACUGAGGGAAGGUCCGAAACAACCGAUUUUGUGUGAGUUGACUCAAACUCCUCGGGAAUCGAUGAUUUGUAUGGGUUCGAGGAAUAGAACCCUAACUAUGAUUCUUUCAAGUUUGGAUUCGUUGAUAAUUUCAAUGAUGGCACCGUUGUAUAUGAUGGACUAUUCAAGUAUUCCGAUGUCUAUUACGAUUCCUCUGAUAUUUCUGGUCAGCUAUGGCUAUUUGAAACUUUGUCGGUGGAGUAAAAAUCCAAACUUAAAAUCCAAAAAAAGAAGAAAGAAGAAAGAUAGCAAACCAAGCUAUACACUAGGUAGUCAUAGCCGAUUUGUAAAUUUUUUUUAGCUCUUGUUGGGGUUUGUGUUAGAAUUUUUUUUAUUAAAGGAAGUUAUAACAUACAAUGUGGAGUAGAAAUUUGAACUGAAAGAUGCUUGCGAGCCUUGACCAAACACAGUAUAAAUCAAUUGAUUUUGUUGCUAAAGUGGGAAUAGUGAUGAAAAUUGAUUUUUUUUCUUAUUUUGCACGAUUUCGGUCUCAUGAGUGCUGUAAAAAAUGAGUUGUAGUGGAGAUAGGCGCAAAUCUUACAUAUUUGAGAUAGUGAAAGAUUAGAAACAAGAGUAUAAUUAUGUGGUAAUUGGGGCAUGGUCCUGUGUGUUGGGUGGUGCCGUGCCGAAUCUCUUCUGAAUGGGUAAAUUGUAAUAGUUGAUCUUCCUUAAAUUUGGAUUUGGACAAUGUGAGAUGCCUUUGCUUCGAAUAAGGAACUCAGUAACGUACCAAUUUUUUUAUCUGUAUUGUUAUUUUUUUAUAGACACAGGUACAUACUAGGUUUGUCGAUUUUUAAAAAAUUAAUAUAAAUAUUCUAAAAAUCUUUACGUUCAUUAAAUAUUUUUUUAAUAUAAAAUACUCAUUAUGGAU
rnacentral:lncRNA from 1 species